rnacentral:misc_RNA from 1 species
GAUGAAGAACGCAGCGAAAUGCGAUAAGUAAUGUGAAUUGCAGAAUUCAGUGAAUCAUCGAAUCUUUGAACGCACAUUGCGCCCCCUGGUAUUCCGGGGGGCAUGCCUGUUCGAGCGUCAUUUCACCACUCAAGCCUCGCUUGGUAUUGGGCAACGCGGUCCGCCGCGUGCCUCAAAUCGACCGGCUGGGUCUUCUGUCCCCUAAGCGUUGUGGAAACUAUUCGCUAAAGGGUGUUCGGGAGGCUACGCCGUAAAACAACCCCAUUUCUAAGGUUGACCUCGGAUCAGGUAGGGAUACCCGCUGAACUUAAGCAUAUCAAUAAGCGGAGGA